GUCGGGAUAGUGAUCACUAAAGAUAAGGUUCUACUUUGAUGGAAAGGAUAGAACAGCUCUUCCCAAUGCGGGAAAGACGUUGGACUGCAUGAAGCUCACAUGGUUUAUGUCAGUUAGAAGAAACUCCCAAAGUUAUAUAAUCCCGAGUCCCAAGUAUCCCGAGUCUAAAAGAGUUCUAGAGUUCCCAAGUGUUAAAAGUUUCUAAAAGUUCUGAGCCC
rnacentral:lncRNA from 1 species